UUUGGACGAAGGGAAUCUAUUAGAGUCCUAAUUUUUUUUAUUAUUAAUUUAGAUAAUAAAUUUUAUUUUUUUAUUGGUUUUUAAAAAUUUAUUAAAUAAGUGUGACAAUGUAAAUAAUUAAAGUAUUGUUGUAUGACGACCAAAUAAUUUCUCGAAACCACAAGUCCCGUCCAAGUUCUUGAGGCGAUUAUGAUUGAAUCGAAUGAACUCCUACGCCGCUCGCCCUCCUCAGCCACCCUAAGCGUCGCCUCCUACGCCCUCUUCUUCACCACCCCAAAUGAGUUCGAGACCCGACCCAAUCAGAAAUUGAGCGGAUUUCAAACACGUAAUUGUGUGGUCCAACGAGUCUUUGAGGCAAAUUGUGAACCGGAAGUCCCGGUGGCAGUGCGGUGGUAGAUUGGCUUCUUGAGGCGGUGGUUGUGUUUGGGAAUAAUUUGAUUGCUGAUCCAAAUGUGUCAGAGAUUCAUCUUUGGUUCUCAGCCUCAACCAUCAAAGAAGCCUGAGCUGCUGCAGUGUGGACGGUUGGGGUGUUUGUCUUGCUGGGCUAAUCUAAUUUGUACUGGUGCUGGGCUAUGGGCUACUGAUAAAAGGAGUGAGGUGUGGGGCAGGUUUGGCCUGUCAAAGUGUCUACUCUGUGGUGGUUUGUUUAUUUCUCAAGCUUUGUUCUGUCAGUGUGUUUUGGUUUGUUUAUCUCGCUAUGUUUAUGCUGUUUGGUUGUUUUGGGUGUUUGGUCCGUAUCAGGUAUGGUUAGUUCUUCAUUGGAUGAGGUUGUUUUUGAUGUUGUGGUUGGCUCCUUACCAACUCGAUUAGAUCCGCUAUGAUGCGUUUUACACUCAUCCUUCUUUUCUUGUAUUGAUGUAAUAGGUUUCUGUUUCAUCAAUAAAGUUUCUUUUCUUUGCUGAAAAAAAAAAAAAAAAAAAAAAAAAAAAAAAAAAAAAAAAAAAAAAAAAAAAAAAAAAAAAA